rnacentral:lncRNA from 1 species
AAAAAAAAAAAAAUAAAAAAACCAAAAAAACAAAAGAAGCUCCACGUGGGUACCACGAUUACUUGGACCGCGACCUUACUCCUCCCCUCGAUUCAGUAACGCAAAAUUUCAGACUGUGACGAAGAACCUUUGACCUUGGCCUCAUCUCUUCAUUCAACACACUACUCUUGGGCCAAAUCCAUCGGAUAAUACCAUUUGGAGUCAGAGUUAGACAAUGACUUUCUAAAUGUCUCCCACUGUUUUGGCAAGGACCGAGAAGCCAUAACCCUUGACUCAUCAUCAAAGCUAAGGUUUCAUUGAGGCCAACUGAUUUCUGAUUCCUUGAAAAAUAUUCAGUGGUCGGUAAUGGGUGAACCAUCUUGAUACCUCAAAGACAUCAUUUGCCUGAUUAGAAAUAACUUGUUAUUGGCCCGUCUUCCGUGCCUAUAAUUCUUCAGUUUUGGACCAAAGGGUACGAGCAAUGGGUCCUCUGAGCUCACAUAUUUAAAACAUUGUCAUCCACCCAUUGAGACUGUAACCACAUACUUGUCCUAUGCAACAAAGUCCUUCCUCAUCACUCUUGCCUUCGGUUUUUCAGUAGAGAACACUGGUAAAUGAAACCUUUGACAUAAAGCAAGUCCUCCCAUUUUACCCCUCUAAAUUUUGAUAAUUUUGACAUUCAAAUUCACCAUUCUAGCCGUAAUUAGCCUCCAUAGUUUGCACCAAUCAAAACUUGUUUGGCUCUGAACCACUUUGAUGGGAGAGUGCACAGCGGAUAUUAAGAUCAAACACUCUCCAAUAGAUCAAUGCAAAUCACAGUACUAUACCACAACAAUAUUAACGUGGGGAAACCUCUCCAAUGAGAAGAGUAAAACCCCACGAGGCAAUACGCCCAAAUCUUUCACUAUAAUCAAUAAUGGGAACAAUCAAGUUCUCUCUAGAUCAUCUAGAAGGUAUACAUCAUCAUAUCCUAAUCUCACAUUAUCAUCAAGAAUACUCUUGGUAAUAUAGAAAGAUAAACAAGAACAAGUUAGAAGAAUCACCCAAAUCUGGAGUCGCGGAUUUGCUUAGAUCUGAUCAAGCUAGAGGCCUUUGUUUUCGUUCUCCACCGUUCAGAUUGUAGAACAAAGAGUCUCAACACCCCCCCCCAAUAUCUCAAAAACAGGCCUGUCUAACGGUGCAAUCGUCUAUCGCGAUUUGAUGAACACUGCGCAGGAAAAAAUCUGGCUCCCCCUUUCUCUCUGUUUUGUCUCUGCCCAAUCUCUUUCUCUCUCCUUCUAACUACUAAAAAACGGCAGCCAGUACUAUACUUGCAAUUAGGGUAACACAAAAGAAGAUGAAAUGACAAAAACCCCUCCAAAUAGGAGGAUUCCCACAAAAUCUGCCCGAACUUGUCUGGGGCCCAUUUGGCCUGAGCCCGAACAAGCCUGAAGCUCGAGCCAACCUAUAUAUAUAUCGGGUAGGGCCAGACCCCAAUGCCCAAACUUCUUACGAAGCCUCGGCAUUUUCCAACUGGGUCGACCUAGCCUUGAGCCUUAGUGAGAACCCAACAAACUAGAGCGGGGACAAGCCGGGCGGCCGAAUUUACAGACCCACAACAAAUUAUGGAGACUUUUCCAUGAAGAUAGUGAAGCAAUGGAAUCAAUAGACAUUCAAUAAAUACCAACGAUGGUCUUUUUCAAAUGGCGGCUAUGGAGGUACCCAUUCACAAUUGUGAAGAUGUCACAACCACCCUUGCUUGCAUAGCAUUGUUCCCUAAUGAUUUUACUAUAUUUUAUUGCUUUUAUACACAACAAAAAAUGCGCUAAAGAAAUAGUUAUACCGUCUUGCAAGGCGAUGGAUAAGAUACUCAUGAAGCCAAAUAUGUUAAAAUAUAAAUGCAUAUUUUACAUAUUUUUAUACAUUUUGUAUCGAUAUCAUGGCAUUUUUUGUCCAUUAACUAUUGUCCAUUGGCCUGUAGUUAGUAUUUUUCAUAAUCUUGUCACACAAGUCAUGGGUCGGUAUUAUCUAAAUUGAAGUGAGACACGUUAACUCUAUGAGCAUAGUGAAACAAAAUUCAAACUUGGUGGCUGUGAGAAGGAAAUAUUGUUUAUAAAGUGUGGAGUUUGAUAUUACUGUUCACUAAAGUACUAUUUUGGUUAAUGAUUUGUUUAGCUGCUUUAAUUUUGGAGUUUUUUGUCUUUAGUUUUUUUUUCUACUCACAUGAUCAAAAUAAUUUUAAUACAUUUUUGAUUUCUCUUGACGAGAUAAGUCCAAAAAUAUAUAAAAAAAUCAUCGAAUUAAAAAAAAUUACUAGAGAUGAAAACAUAUGAUUUUUUUGGGAUAAAAGGGUUUUUUAUCUUUCUUUCGUAAAGUUUUUCCCAAAUUAGAUAAAAAAAAAUAAUUUAUAUUUUCGAACUCCUCUCAUCAAGAAAAGCCAAAAAAAUAUAAAAUUUUAAUCAAACAGUAAAAAAAAUCAUUAAAAAAAAAUUAAAAAACGAAAGAGUUAACAAAAAUUCAAAAACCGUACCCCAAACUAAGCCUAAGUUACGUGGUUUAGAUGAAUUUUUGUAUGGUGCAGCAAAUCUUGAAUUGUUGUGUGUGAUUAUUACUUAUUUCAACGAUUGUCUGCAUAAAUUCAAACAUACAAGUUUCAAAGCCAACCAUGGGCUUCAAACUCUGCAAUUCAAACAAGGUUGGCAAAUGGCAAAUAUCAACAAACCAAUUGACCGAAAGGCCCUCAACAGUAUAAAUAAAGGUGAUCAUCAUCUUCAUCUUCUACAUAAAAUCUUGCUUGCUAGUCAUCAAGAAUGGCAAUUAAAAACUCUGCAAGCUCUGUUCUGGUGACCAUUUUCCUCUUUGCUCUAGUUUCUCUCCUGUGCUGCAAUCUGAAGCAGCUCGAUUUACUCAGAGAGGUAUAUAUAAUCAAUCCAUAUAUCAAUUUUUUUCCUCACCUUUGUGCAUUUGGUUUCAGUUUGAGUUUCAAUUUUUUUUCGUUUUAAUGAGUUUUAUUACUGUUUGAUCCUACUUUUGUAUUUUUUUGUCAUUAGUGAAGUUUUUCUCAAAUUUGAUCAAUUUUUUUUCAUUUUCUGAUUCUCUUCGUUAAGGAGAAACUUAAAAAUAUAAACUUACGAUCAAACAGUAAAAAAAAAAAAACUCGAAAACCAAAACAAUUCAGUAGAACUAAUUUAGCUAUCCCAAAUUGUGGUUUGAAUGUUUUCUUUAUUUUUCUUUUUUGUUUUUGAAGUGUUUGGGAGUUUUUUUUUUAAUUGAUUUUUUUUUGUGUUGUGUGUGUGUCAAUUAAACAGAACUUCUGCAAGACCCGAUAUGCCCUGCCUGCGUGUGCUGUGAGCCACCACCACCGGGCGAGUGCUGCCCCUGCUGUUCCACUCCUGUUGAGCCUUCAUCUGAAACUGGAACACCCUAAUUACAUCCACCAGGCCAUGAACCAAAAAUAAAUAAACAGCAAAUAAAGAACAAGAGCACUGUAUUGUUCCUGAUGAAUAAAUUC